ACCACAACUCCUGGGGCCACCAACAUCAGUAGAAACAGGUUUUUCAGCAAUAAUUCAAAUCUGAAGACCAAAAGAUGAAUUUAUCCGUUCAUUAGUUUAUUAUUUUGGUCAUGUUCUGACCAUGUUCAACUAAUAAAGUUCUUUUGUUCAUGUUCCACUAACAAUAUCAAAAGAACAAAAUAAUUAAUUUCAAACUAUGAGGAGGGUAAGUGUUAUUUUAUUGUUUUGCAUGUUCAAGUGUUCUAGUGCUUUAUCUGCUCAAGUAAAGCUGUGGACAUCCACAAGACGUGUUGUAAUGAGGGUAUAGCAUGCUGGAUUUUCUUAUCACAUUUAAUUGAGCAGACAAUGCAUGAGGCAGCUUACAUCGACAAUUUUCAAACAUUUUUUUCAACUUUGAUAACUGCGGUUUCUUUAUAUUUUUGGUUUCCUCCCAGGUGAUUCCACUCCAUGUGCAACUGUGUCUAAACCACCUGAUGAAGUACCUAGCUCUGUGCAUUCAAUACAGUUAGAUGAUCCAGUUGUAAAGCAACCAGUGCCCAUUCCUCUAGAGCUGCUGUGUGUUUUUCAGGAGCCAGCUGCAACUCAGCUUGAAGUGUUGUCAACAUUAAGGACAAUAUAUUCUACAACUGCCACUGUGUAUAGGACUCCAUUAAAGCACAAGUCCAAAACAACUG